rnacentral:rRNA from 1 species
AGCGAACGCUGGCGGCAGGCCUAACACAUGCAAGUCGAACGGAUCCUUCGGGAUUAGUGGCAGACGGGUGAGUAACACGUGGGAACGUGCCUUUUGGUUCGGAACAACUCAGGGAAACUUGAGCUAAUACCGGAUGUGCCCUUCGGGGAAGGAUUUAUCGCCAUUAGAGCGGCCCGCGUCUGAUUAGCUAGUUGGUGAGGUAAAGGCUCACCAAGGCUUCGAUCAGUAGCCGGUCUGAGAGGAUGAUCAGCCACACUGGGACUGAGACACGGCCCAGACUCCUACGGGAGGC